GCUCGCUCGCCUCUCUCUCUCUCCCUCUGCCCGACUCCUCCACCUUUAACACCCCACCCCUUCCUGUCUUUGCUGCUGUCCGCUUCAUCGUGCUCCACCCCCACUCGGUCUCUUCUUGGCAAACCAAACCACUUAAAGGAUACCCAUACCCGCCAUGUGGGAGAAAAUGUCAUCAAAGUUGAGACCACAUGUGUUGUACGUGACAAGGCAGGUAUGUAAACGAUUAGGAUCAAAACACAGAGAGACGCAGAACCGACACCAGUAAUUAAGUGCGGAAGAGAGAACAAGAGGGAGGAUUAAAGAAAAUGAUGACCCAUUUUGGAGCGGAGACGAGAAAUGCAGAGGGACACAGAAAAGCCAAACAUUCGGCAAGAGCCACACGCCAUCAACGUUUGAGCAACGGACUUUGCUACAGCCACUCAAUGUCCUGUUUGGAUUAGUGGUCUUUCGUACGCAAGUUGGAACGCACACCAACAGUCGAAAAGUCAUAAUGGCCAAUUUACUGUUUA